CCUACGGGAGGCAGCAGUGAGGAAUAUUGGUCAAUGGGCGGGAGUCUGAACCAGCCAAGCCGCGUGAGGGAAGACGGUACUGUGUAUUGUAAACUUCUUUUGUCAGGGAAUAAAGGCGGGGACUAGUCCCUGUCUGAGGGUACCUGAAGAAUAAGCAUCGGCUAACUCCGUGCCAGCAGCCGCGGUAAUACGGAGGAUGCGAGCGUUAUCCGGAUUUAUUGGGUUUAAAGGGUGCGUAGGGGGUCGGUUAAGUCAGCGGUAAAAUCCCGGGGCUCAACCCCGGCGUGCCGUUGAAACUGGCGGGCUGGAGUGGGGGUGAGGUACGCGGAAGGGGUGGUGUAGCGGUGAAAUGCUUAGAGAU
rnacentral:rRNA from 1 species